AGAGUUAGUCCCCCUCCCUCCGCCCCGCGCCGCGUGGGACCCGUUGAAGGAACCACCUGGGUUCCGUUAGGGCUGGCUGGGAAAAAAGAUAUGAUGGAAAGACGUGGGGAGACGUCUCAGUGGUCUACUGUGGUUGCUCCUGGGCUGGAGAAGAUCAGGACCUAUUCUUACUAUCCAUCGACUGAUUCCAUCCAUCGCUACCCAUCUGCCACCCAUCUGUAACCAUCUUUCUUGCUCUGAAAAUAAUACGCUACAGUACUUUCAAACUACUCGAUAAUACAUAGCGUGGAUUUUCCGAGUCCUGCUUCCACACGUGAGCUACCAGCGAGCAUGACUCAGGCUGUGACAAUGGAUAAGGACAGCUGGAAGCAAUGGUGUUCUUCUCAGCCGGAACCCGGUGCGGUCAGUGUGCAGCCUGACACUCGAAACUCAUUCAUCUUCCUGUAUCCCUCUUCAUGUUGCAGCACACCAAGGCUUUGGAUUCCUUCAGCACUAUUCGAUUACAUGAGACAAGCUUCUUGAUCUGAGCCACCAAUUUCCUGAGUGAAGGUCCAGGACUCAAACAGCUGGGAGAGAAGGCCGUUGCCAAAUGCCUCCUGAGUGAUCAGUUUCAACCCACUGAGCAUCGUCUCGCUUGCAGCUGGUCGUCCCAUGAUUUCGGAAACGUAAUGGUAGAUCAGCUAUCUGGGAUCUGCUCAGAGGUAGAAGAGGGUGUUGGAAACCAAGUCUUUUCAUUAGCCUAAACCAUAUCACAAAGAGGCAAUACGGAUGCUCCUAGUCGAAUGGCUGGGCAGCUGACUGGUUUAGUAAUAGACAGCUUAAGUUAAAUGAUAGCAUUCACAAAGUUCCUUCCAUUCAACUAUGAAACAGGCCCCUACCUGGGCCCAAUCUCCUCUACUCUGUACUUCAGAGGCCAGACGAGAUUGGGAGCGUUCACGGUGGUAUGGCUGUAGAUUGUUCACGAUGUUUCUGGUAGCUUUUGCCCUUUUAAUGCUUGCUCUCUUUCUGUCCUCUGUCAAACGUUGUAAAACAUAAAUAAGGUCAAGUGCGCCACAGAAGACCCUACCUAAGGCCCUGAGCAGUACAAGGUUGUUGUACUUUCUGGAGUUCAAUGAUCGCAUUCACGAAGUUCCUUCCAUCCAAUACCCUCUUCUACCUCCAGGAACAUUCCAGAUACCUGACCUAGCAUUACAUUUCCGAAAUAAUGGGACGAUUUAUCCAGAGUACUCCCGAAUAAAUAGCGUGAAUGUUCUCGGUCCUGCUUGCAAGCAUAAGCUACCAGUGAGCUUGUUUCAGGCUGUGAGAAUGGAUAAGGACAGCCGGAAGCAAUGGUGUUCUUCUCAGCUGGAACCCGAUGUGGUCAGUGUGCAGCCUGACACUCGAAACUCAUUCAUCUUCCUUUCUAAGUCCUUUCACAUGGAGUCCAACCCUUGGGCAGAACCCCAGAUUUUCUUCAGUACUUCACAUGUUCUCUCGUUGGCCUGUUCCAGAUCCCUCUUCAUGUUGCAGCACACCAAGGCUUUGGAUUCCUCCAGCACUAUUCGAUUACAUGAGACAAGCUUCUUGAUCUGAGCCACCAAUUUCCUGAUUGAAGGUCCAGGAUCCAAACAGCUGGGAGAGAAGGCCGUUGCCAAAUGCCUCCUGUGUGAUCAGUUUCAACCCACUGAGCAUCGUCUCGCUUGCAGCUGGUCGUCCCAUGAUUUCGGAAACGUAAUGGUAGAUCAGCUAUCUGGAAUCUGCCCAGAGGUAGAAGAGGGUGUUGGAAACCAAGUCUUUUCAUUAGCCAAAACCAUAUCACAAAGAGGCAAUAUGGGUGCUCCUAGUCGAACGGCUGGGCUGUUGACUGCUUUAGUAAUAGACAGCUUAAGUUAAAUGAUAGCAUUCACAAAGUUCCUUCCAUCCAACUAUGAAACAGGCCCCUACCUGGGCCCAAUCUCCUCUACUCUGUACAUCAGAGGCCAGACGAGAUUGGGAGCGUUCACAGUGGUAUGGGUGUAGGUUGUUCACGAUGUUUCUGGUAGCUUUUGCCCUUUUAAUGCUUGUUCUCUUUCUGUCCUCUGACAAACGUUGUAAAACAUAAAUAAGGUCAAGUGCACCACAGAAGACCCUACCUAAGGCCCUGAGCAGUACAAGGUUGGUGUACUUUCUGGAGUUCAAUGAUCGCAUUCAUGAAGUUCCUUCCAUCCAAUACCCUCUUCUACCUCCAGGAAGAUUCCAGAUACCUGACCUAGCAUUACAUUUCCGAAAUAAUGGGACGAUUUAUCCAGAGUACUCCCGAAUAAAUAGCGUGAAUGUUCCUAGUCCUGCUUGGAAGCAUAAGCUACCAGUGAGCUUGUCUCAGGCUGUGAGAAUGGAUAAGGACAGGUGGAAGCAAUGGUGUUCUUCUCAGCCGGAACCCCGUGUGGUCAGUGUGCAGCCUGACACUCGAAACUCGUUCAUCUUCCUUUCUAAGUCCUUUCACAUGGAGUCCAACCCUCGGGCAGAACCCCAGAUUUUCUUCAGUACUUCACAUGUUCUCUCGUUGGCCUGUUCCAGAUCCCUCUUCAUGUUGCAGCACACCAAGGCUUUGGAUUCCUCCAGCAAUAUUCGAUUACAUGAGACAAGCUUCUUGAUCUGAGCCACCAAUUUCCUGAGUGAAGGUCCAGGAUCCAAACAGCUGGGAGAGAAGGCCGUUGCCAAAUGCCUCCUGAGUGAUCAGUUUCAACCCACUGAGCAUCGUCUCACUUGCAGCUGGUCGUCCCAUGAUUUCGGAAACGUAAUGGUAGAUCAGCUAUCUGGAAUCUGCCCAGAGGUAGAAGAGGGUGUUGGAAACCAAGUCUUUUCAUUAGCCUAAACCAUAUCACAAAGAGGCAAUACGGAUGCUCCUAGUCGAAUGGCUGGGCCAUUGAGUGCUUCAACAAUACGCAGCUUAAGCUGAACAAUAGCAUUCAGGAAGUUCCUUCUAUCCAACAAUGAAACAGGCCCGAACCUGGACCCAAUCGCAUCUACUCUGUACUUCAGAGACCAGACAAGAUUGGGAGCGUUCACGGUGGUAUGACUGUAGAUUGUUCACGACGUUUCCAGUAGCUUCUGCCGUUUUAAUGCUUGCUCUCUCUCUGUCCUCUGUCAAAUGUCGUAAAAAAUAAAUAAGGCCAAGUGCACCACGGAAGACCGUACCAAUGGCGCUGAGCAGUCCAAGGUUGCUGUACUUUCUGGAGUCAGUACUCCCGAAUAAAUAGCGUGAAUGUUCCCAGUCCUGCUUGCAAGCAUAAGCUACCAGUGAGCUUGUCUCAGGCUGUGAGAAUGGAUAAGGACAGAUGGAAGCAAUGGUGUUCUUCUCAGCCGGAACCCGAUGUGGUCAGUGUGCAGCCUGACACUCGAAACUCGUUCAUCUUCCUUUCUAAGUCCUUUCACAUGGAGUCCAACCCUUGGGCAGAACCCCAGAUUUUCUUCAGUACUUCACAUGUUCUCUCGUUGGCCUGUUCCAGAUCCGUCUUCAUGUUGCAGCACACCAAGGCUUUGGAUUCCUCCAGCACUAUUCGAUUACAUGAGACAAGCUUCUUGAUCUGAGCCACCAAUUUCCUGAGUGAAGGUCCAGGAUCCAAACAGCUGGGAGAGAAGGCCGUUGCCAAAUGCCUCCUGAGUGAUCAGUUUCAACCCACUGAGCAUCGUCUCACUUGCAGCUGGUCGUCCCAUGAUUUCGGAAACGUAAUGGUAGAUCAGCUAUCUGGAAUCUGCCCAGAGGUAGAAGAGGGUGUUGGAAACCAAGUCUUUUCAUUAGCCUAAACCAUAUCACAAAGAGGCAAUACGGAUGCUCCUAGUCGAAUGGCUGGGCGGCUGACUGGUUUAGUAAUAGACAGCUUAAGUUAAAUGAUAGCAUUCACAAAGUUCCUUCCAUCCAACUAUGAAACAGGCCCCUACCUGGGCCCAAUCUCCUCUACUCUGUACUUCAGAGGCCAGACGAGAUUGGGAGCGUUCACGGUGGUAUGGCUGUAGAUUGUUCACGAUGUUUCUGGUAGCUUUUGCCCUUUUAAUGCUUGCUCUCUUUCUGUCCUCUGUCAAACGUUGUAAAACAUAAAUAAGGUCAAGUGCGCCACAGAAGACCCUACCUAAGGCCCCGAGCAGUACAAGCUUGGUGUACUUUCUGGAGUUCAAUGAUCGCAUUCACGAAGUUCCUUCCAUCCAAUACGCUCUUCUACCUCCAGGAAGAUUCCAGAUACCUGACCUAGCAUUACAUUUCCGAAAUAAUGGAACGAUUUAUCCAGAGUACUCCCGAAUAAAUAGCGUGAAUGUUCCCGGUCCUGCUUACAAGCAUAAGCUACCAGUGAGCUUGUUUCAGGCUGUGAGAAUGGAUAAGGACACCCGGAAGGAAUGGUGUUCUUCUCAGCUGGAACCCGAUGUGGUCACUGUGCAGCCUGACACUCGAAACUCGUUCAUCUUCCUUUCUAAAUCCUUUCACAUGGAGUCCAACCCUUGGGCAGAACCCCAGAUUUUCUUCAGUACUUCACAUGUUCUCUCGUUGGCCUGUUCCAGAUCCCUCUUCAUGUUGCAGCACACCAAGGCUUUGGAUUCCUCCAGCACUAUUCGAUUACAUGAGACAAGCUUCUUGAUCUGAGCCACCAAUUUCCUGAGUGAAGGUCCAGGAUCCAAACAGCUGGGAGAGAAAGCCGUUGCCAAAUGCCUCCUGUGUGAUCAGUUUCAACCCACUGAGCAUCGUCUCGCUUGCAGCUGGUCGUCCCAUGAUUUCGGAAACGUAAUGGUAGAUCAGCUAUCUGGAAUCUGCCCAGAGGUAGAAGAGGGUGUUGGAAACCAAGUCUUUUCAUUAGCCUAAACCAUAUCACAAAGAGGCAAUACGGAUGCUCCUAGUCGAAUGGCUGGGCCAUUGAGUGCUUCAACAAUACACAGCUUAAGCGGAACAAAGCAUUCAGAAAGUUCCUUCUAUCCAACAAUGAAACAGGCCCGAACCUGGGCCCAAUCGCAUCUACUCUGUACUUCAGAGACCAGACAAGAUUGGGAGCGUUCACGGUGGUAUGACUGUAGAUUGCUCACGACGUUUCCAGUAGCUUCUGCCGUUUUAAUGCUUGCUCUCUCUCUGCCCUCUGUCAAAUGUCGUAAAAAAUAAAUAAGGCCAAGUACACCACGGAAGACCCUACCAAUGGCGCCGAGCAGUCCAAGCUUCCUGUACUUUCUGGAGUCAGUACUCCCGAAUAAAUAGCGUGAAUGUUCCUAGUCCUGCUUGGAAGCAUAAGCUACCAGUGAGCUUGUCUCAGGCUGUGAGAAUGGAUAAGGACAGGUGGAAGCAAUGGUGUUCUUCUCAGCCGGAACCCCAUGUGGUCAGUGUGCAGCCUGACACUCGAAACUCGUUCAUCUUCCUUUCUAAGUCCUUUCACAUGGAGUCCAACCCUUGGGCAGAACCCCAGAUUUUCUUCAGUACUUCACAUGUUCUCUCGUUGGCCUGUUCCAGAUCCCUCUUCAUGUUGCAGCACACGAAGGCUUUGGAUUCCUCCAGCACUAUUCGAUUACAUGAGACAAGCUUCUUGAUCUGAGCCACCAAUUUCCUGAGUGAAGGUCCAGGAUCCAAACAGCUGGGAGAGAAGGCCGUUGCCAAAUGCCUCCUGUGUGAUCAGUUUCAACCCACUGAGCAUCAUCUCGCUUGCAGCUGGUCGUCCCAUGAUUUCGGAAACGUAAUGGUAGAUCAGCUAUGUGGGAUCUGCUCAGAGGUAGAAGAGGGUGUUGGAAACCAAGUCUUUUCAUUAGCCUAAACCAUAUCACAAAGAGGCAAUACGGAUGCUCCUAGUCGAAUGGCUGGGCCAUUGAGUGCUUCAACAAUACGCAGCUUAAGCUGAACAAAGCAUUCAGGAAGUUCCUUCUAUCCAACAAUGAAACAGGCCCGAACCUGGGCCCAAUCGCAUCUACUCUGUACUUCAGAGACCAGACAAGAUUGGGAGCGUUCACGGUGGUAUGACUGUUGAUUGCUCACGACGUUUCCAGUAGCUUCUGCCGUUUUAAUGCUUGCUCUCUCUCUGCCCUCUGUCAAAUGUCGUAAAAAAUAAAUAAGGCCAAGUGCACCACGGAAGACCCUACCAAUGGCGCCGAGUAGUCCAACCUUCCUGUACUUUCUGGAGUCAGUACUCCCGAAUAAAUAGCGUGAAUGUUCCUAGUCCUGCUUGGAAGCAUAAGCUACCAGUGAGCUUGUCUCAGGCUGUGAGAAUGGAUAAGGACAGUUGGAAGCAAUGGUGUUCUUCUCAGCCGGAACCCCAUGUGGUCAGUGUGCAGCCUGACACUCGAAACUCGUUCAUCUUCCUUUCUAAGUCCUUUCACAUGGAGUCCAACCCUCGGGCAGAACCCCAGAUUUUCUUCAGUACUUCACAUGUUCUCUCGUUGGCCUGUUCCAGAUCCCUCUUCAUGUUGCAGCACACCAAGGCUUUGGAUUCCUCCAGCAAUAUUCGAUUACAUGAGACAAGCUUCUUGAUCUGAGCCACCAAUUUCCUGAGUGAAGGUCCAGGUUCCAAACAGCUGGGAGAGAAGGCCGUUGCCAAAUGCCCCCUGUGUGAUCAGUUUCAACCCACUGAGCAUCGUCUCACUUGCAGCUGGUCGUCCCAUGAUUUCGGAAACGUAAUGGUAGAUCAGCUAUCUGGAAUCUGCCCAGAGGUAGAAGAGGGUGUUGGAAACCAAGUAUUUUCAUUAGCCUAAACCAUAUCACAAAGAGGCAAUACGGAUGCUCCUAUUCGAAUGGCUGGGCCAUUGAGUGCUUCAACAAUACGCAGCUUAAGCUGAACAAUAGCAUUCAGGAAGUUCCUUCUAUCCAACAAUGAAACAGGCCCGAACCUGGGCCCAAUCGCAUCUACUCUGUACUUCAGAGACCAGACAAGAUUGGGAGCGUUCACGGUGGUAUGACUAUAGAUUGUUCACGACGUUUCCAGUAGCUUCUGCCGUUUGAAUGCUUGCUCUCUCUCUGUCCUCUGUCAA
rnacentral:lncRNA from 1 species